rnacentral:rRNA from 1 species
UACGAAGGGGGCUAGCGUUGCUCGGAAUGACUGGGCGUAAAGGGCGCGUAGGCGGCUCUCGCAGUCAGGCGUGAAAUCCCCGGGCUCAACCUGGGGGCUGCGCUUGCGACGCGGGGGCUGGAGUGCGGGAGAGGGCCGUGGAAUUCCCAGUGUAGAGGUGAAAUUCGUAGAUAUUGGGAAGAACACCGGUGGCGAAGGCGGCGGCCUGGCCCGCGACUGACGCUGAGGCGCGAAAGCGUGGGGAGCAAACAGG